AGAGUUUGAUCCUGGCUCAGAACGAACGCUGGCGGCGUGCUUAACACAUGCAAGUCGAACGUGAUCCAGAGCUUGCUCUGGUGAAAGUGGCGCACGGGUGAGUAACGCGUGGAUAACCUGCCCUGGUAUCUGGGAUAACAUCUCGAAAGGGGUGCUAAUACCGGAUAAGCCUACGGGAUCUUCGGAGUCUGCAGGAAAAGGUGGCCUCUAUUUAUAAGCUACCGUAUCAGGAUGAGUCCGCGUACCAUUAGCUAGUUGGUGGGGUAAUGGCCCACCAAGGCUACGAUGGUUAGCUGGUCUGAGAGGAUGAUCAGCCACACUGGAACUGAGACACGGUCCAGACUCCUACGGGAGGCAGCAGUGGGGAAUUUUGCGCAAUGGGGGAAACCCUGACGCAGCAACGCCGCGUGAGUGAUGAAGGCUUUCGGGUCGUAAAGCUCUGUCAGAGGGGAAGAAAUGAGUCUGGCUAAUAUCCAGAUUUCUUGACGGUACCCUCAAAGGAAGCACCGGCUAACUCCGUGCCAGCAGCCGCGGUAAUAC
rnacentral:rRNA from 2 species